rnacentral:rRNA from 1 species
CCUACGGGGGGCAGCAGUGAGGAAUAUUGGUCAAUGGACGAGACUCUGAACCAGCCAAGUAGCGUGAAGGAUGACUGCCCUAUGGGUUGUAAACUUCUUUUAUAUGGGAAUAAAACAGGGUAUGCAUCGCCUCUUGUAUGUACCAUAUGAAUAAGGAUCGGCUAACUCCGUGCCAGCAGCCGCGGUAAUACGGAGGAUCCGAGCGUUAUCCGGAUUUAUUGGGUUUAAAGGGAGCGUAGGUGGAUUGUUAAGUCAGUUGUGAAAGUUUGCGGCUCAACCGUAAAAUUGCAGUUGAAACUGGCAGGCUUGAGUACAGUAGAGGUGGGCGGAAUUCGUGGUGUAGCGGUGAAAUGCUUAGAUAUCACGAAGAACUCCGAUUGCGAAGGCAGCUCACUGGACUGUAACUGACACUGAUGCUCGAAAGUGUGGGUAUCAAACAGGAUUAGAUACCCUGGUAGUC